UGGGGAAUUUUGGACAAUGGGCGAAAGCCUGAUCCAGCAAUGCCGCGUGUGUGAAGAAGGCCUUCGGGUUGUAAAGCACUUUUGUCCGGAAAGAAAUCCUUGGCUCUAAUACAGUCGGGGGAUGACGGUACCGGAAGAAUAAGCACCGGCUAACUACGUGCCAGCAGCCGCGGUAAUACGUAGGGUGCAAGCGUUAAUCGGAAUUACUGGGCGUAAAGCGUGCGCAGGCGGUUUGCUAAGACCGAUGUGAAAUCCCCGGGCUCAACCUGGGAACUGCAUUGGUGACUGGCAGGCUAGAGUAUGGCAGAGGGGGGUAGAAUUCCACGUGUAGCAGUGAAAAUGCGUAGAGAUGUGGAGGAAAUACCGAUGGCGAAAGGCAGCCCCCUGGGCCAAUACUGACGCUCAUGCACGAAAAGCGUGGGGAGCAAAACAGGAUUAGAUACCCUGGUAGUCCACGCCCUAAAACGAUGUCAACUAGUUGUUGGGGAUUCAUUCCUUAGUAACGUAGCUAAACGCGUGAAAGUUGACCGCCUGGGGAGUACGGUCGC
rnacentral:rRNA from 1 species